rnacentral:rRNA from 1 species
UGUGGGAUUGCACAGACAACCAGGAUGUUGGCUUAGAAGCAGCCACUCAUUCAAAGAGUGCGUAAUAGCUCACUGGUCGAGUGAUCCUGCGCCGAAGAUUUCCGGGGCUAAAACUUACUACCGAAGCUACGGCAUCAGUAAUGAUGGGUAGGGGAGCUUCCCAUACGGGUUGAAGCAUGACCGUAAGGACAUGUGGACAGUAUGGGAGGGAGAAUGUUGGCAUGAGUAGCGAGAUGUGGGUGAGAAUCCCACAGGCCGUAAACCCAAGGUUUCCAGGGGAAGGGUCGUCCGCCCUGGGUUAGUCGGGACCUAAGCUGAGGCCGACAGGCGUAGGUGAUGGACAACAGGUUGAUAUUCCUGUACUACCGAUAACCGUUUGAGAGAAGGGAUGACACAGUAGGAUCUGC